rnacentral:rRNA from 1 species
UACGUAGGGUGCAAGCGUUGUCCGGAAUUAUUGGGCGUAAAGAGCUCGUAGGCGGUCUGUUGCGUCGGCUGUGAAAACCCGGGGCUCAACUCCGGGCCUGCAGCCGAUACGGGCAGACUAGAGUUCGGCAGGGGAGACUGGAAUUCCUGGUGUAGCGGUGAAAUGCGCAGAUAUCAGGAGGAACACCGGUGGCGAAGGCGGGUCUCUGGACAGACACCGACGCUGAGGCACGAAAGCUAGGGGAGCAAACAGG